rnacentral:sRNA from 1 species
AGUGUGUAGCUUGCAGACAAACCUCAUCCACAAGGAGGCUACUGACAUUGGAAGCACUUUGGCGCAUUUUCAGAGGCAAAGCCAGCCUGAUAAAGCUCCUUGUGACAGCCUGACUUGCUAUUCUUCGAGUAUGCUGCUCUUGCUCUAAGACGCUCAUACAUUGGAGUCACAGCUUCGUAAAUUAAACUGGAAAUAGUUUGCAGACUUAUCAGUCUUCUGACCUGCAGCAGUGUCUCUGCUAUGUUUGAGAUUUUUGUUUUGGAUGGUGAAAGCUAGCACUCCUUACAAGACAUGACAGCAAAAGAUUCUUCAAAGGAACUUACUGCUUCUGAACCUGAGGUUUGCAUAAAGACUUUCAAGGAGCAAAUGCAUUUAGAACUUGAGCUUCCGAGAUUACCAGGAAACAGACCUACAUCUCCUAAAAUUUCUCCACGCAGUUCACCAAGGAACUCACCAUGCUUUUUCAGAAAGUUGCUGGUGAAUAAAAGCAUUCGGCAGCGUCGUCGCUUCACUGUGGCUCAUACAUGUUUACCAAUGGCUUCAUGUCCAUCCAUCA